GCGUACAUCGAUUAUUAUAUGACACAGGGAUCGAUCGAGAGCUAGAUACUGUGAUCAAGUUUCAGAUUCAUGCAUGCAUAUGCUGUUCUAAUUGUUCAGGGCCUGAAGAAGGCAGGGUGAGGGCGGCCGGUGCCCUGGAAGGAGGUGUUCUUGAGGUGUUCAGGUGCGUUCUCGAAGGAGUGCCUCCUCGCCAGCGAGAGGAUCUUCUUGUCGGCGGCGACGAAGUAUGCCAUCCCGGCCGCCGUGCAGAUGAUCAGCGCCUGCCCCGUCGGGUUGAUGUUGGCCUUCGCCCAUGGCAGCAUCCUCACGCUCGCCAGCUGAAAUAAACCACACACAUAUGCAGAUAAUAAGUUAGUACAUGUACCUGAUGAGCUCUGCUGAUGAAUGAAGACUGAAGAAAUCACACAAAAGCUAGCAGCAAGAACUGAAGAAGACGCAUUUGUGUGUGUGUGUGAGAGAGAGAUAUAUAUAUAUAAAGAGAGUUUACUCACGGUGGGAACUGCAGAAGCGAUGGUCGCAACGGCAGCCGCCUUAACCCCUGCAAUGUUUGCCUCUGCAGAUUCACAAAGCACGCACGUAUAUAUGCAUCAGUCGAUAUAUAUUCAGUUAAUAAGUGCCAUGGAAUUCAAUUAACGCAAAGACGAAGAACAUUGUAGUUCAUGACUACUACACGUACCACGCGAGCAGCGCUUGGCGAGGGCGAGCCUCUGCUCCAGGUGUGCACGGGUCACCGUUGCCAUGUAAAUUAGUUUCAGUCACUUAGUUUUUGCUGAACUGCACUAGAGCAGUUUGAGAGAGCUAGGCAAGCCAAUCGACUAGCGAGAGAGAGAGAGAGAGAUCAGAGGAGUGUGUGAGAGAGUAGAUCGAGUGUAGCGGCAAGCAAGGGAGAUGGAUGGAUUGGAUUGGGGAGAGGCAUGGGGGCCUGCGAAUUUAUAGGCAGGCAAGCCAAGACCCAAGAGAUCGAUGUAGCGGAAUGAAGAAGGAAUCAGUGGACGAUGGAGGCAGAUAGCGGCGGGCGGGGGACGUGGUUUUGGGGCGAAACCAUGUGUGCGCGUGUGGCCGUUGCCGGCAACCGCCUCCGGCCUCGAUCUGCUUCACGAUGAUACCAUAUAUUCCGCCACGCACGUACACUACCUCGCCUCGCCUCGCUCGAUCUGUUCCUAUCCGUCCACGCGUCCAGCCAUGGUUUGCUGAUGCAACUACAGGUCGGUGCCUGGGGCUCUGCCAAAGCUGGAUUAGUUUUUUCUUUUUCUUUUUUGAAGCCCCCAAAGCUGGAUUACUUAAGAGUAUGGACCCUCUGAAUUGUAGGUUUGCAAAAAAAAAAAGAAGAUAAAUACGAGAAAAACAUGUUUCUGACAUGAAUACGAGCGUAAAAUAAUGAUUGCAAAACACAUGAAUGGCUGAUUGAUUAUACUGCAUGAAAAAAGCAGAAAUUAGAGAUAGGCUUUAAAGAAAAUUUUUCGAUAGGUUGGAGCUCUUACUAAGUUCAUUCCAAAAUCUACAUGCAAUGAGUCAUUAUAUAGAAAUUUCAUAGGAUUCGGAAACUUCAUCCCUUUGAAUCAAAUGAUCAUAGAAAAAAUUCCUAUAGGAUUUGAAUCCUAUACGAGCUCCUUCGACUUGUAGGAAAAUAAUUAAAUUUUGAAGGAUUUCAGUUCUAUGAGAAAAUAUUUUCUAAAGAUUUUUAAAAUAAAAUAUUGAAUAAUAUCCUAUCUUUUAAAAUUCCUAUGGAAUGAUAAAUCCAGUAGAGAUUUUGAAGAUAAUUUAGCAAGAGCUCUAACCGCCUCUUGGAAAAUUUUCCUUUGAGUUUAUCUUUCUUAUUUAAUUCCUACGUUUUUCCUACGAUCCAAUCAAACGAUCAUUCCUGUGUUUUUUUUACGUUUUAUAGUUCUCUGUUUUGCACUUAUAUUCUUAUCAAAAUUCUACAUGUUUUUUUUUUCAUUUUUCUCCGUUUUUCCAUUCAUGCUAUUCAAAGCGGUCCUAAAAUUCAUAAAUGAAUCAUUUGAUUCAAAGGGUUCUUAAGUUAAUAGUAUAGCCAAUUUAUAAAGCUAAUCUAACAUUAUAUUCAUAAAAUAGUUACAUGUAAAUAUAUAUAUAUAUAUAUAUAUAUAUAUAUAUAUAUAUAUAUAUAUAUAUAUAUAUAUAUAUAUAUAUAUAUAUAUGACACUCAUAUGGGGCACCAUGGUGCCCGGGCACCAUGGUAUCUAAUGCACAAAAUUACUCAAAUUUUUCAAAAUUUUCAAAUUGUGAGUAUAUACCUAGUUAUAAUAAUUUGAUUCAUACCUAUACUUAUCAACAAAACAACUCAAAUUUAACUUUAUUUCACAAUCCAUGAUUACAUACCUAACUAAUUAUAUGUAUGGAUGCUAUAUACCUAGAAUCAAAAUCUAACAAAAAUAAGUUCAAAUUCAGUUCAAACUUGCUUUAAACUAGUUAGUAAAGUUUGUGAUAUAUAUAUAUAUAUCACACCAUUAAUAUCUGGUCUCACCUCUCAUACAUAGCGUCUAAAAGUUCGUGCUAGAGCUACUUGAAAAAUCUGCACUUCACUUUUUUUACUUUAUAGUUGGUUUAUAGUCUAUUAUUGCAAUUGCUCUUGGGCCAUCCCCAACCCAGAAACUAUGCAGUAGUUUCCAUACUUACCAUGUCAUAUAGACAUCAUGUGUAAAAACCAUAUAUCCAAUAUGGUUGGUGUCUUUAAAUUAAAUUCUCAUGCAAUAAUCUCUUCUCUCUCUCCUUUUAUCUAUCUAUCCCAUUGUUUUUAUUCAUGGUACUUGUGUAGAUAUGGUUUCUUGCAUGAGAAAUAGCUUCUUCAUCUUUUUAUCCAUCUCCUCAUUAACUCUCUUGCCACAUCAUAUUUGCCACAUUAUAUUUUUGUUUAUGUGACAAUAUAUUUAAUGCUAUGUACACUAGAUACAUGGAGUGAUGGAGGGUUGGGGAUGGCCUUAUUUUAAUCCACUGCUACUAAUAUUCACUAUUGAUUCAUGGAAUCCAUAACAUCUCACUAGAUGUAGACAUGAACCAAGAUCGAUGUAAUUUUGAGCUCUCUUUGGGGACUAAUUAAUCCUAUAACUACUGCGUGCACAUAGAUUCCCGACUAAUGCAGUUAGUGGGGGCGUGUGGUGAGCAGUUAAUUAAUUAGGAGUGAGCAUUUUGUUAAUACUACCUCUCCUAUCUACGAACUGCCCUGUUUACUGGUUAGUCAAACUGGCUGAACCUAAUCAUGUGGGCGGUCAGGUUCAACGUUCCUGUGGUAGAUGCUGCUACCAAAUGGCCACAGAGACGCAUGUCAACAAGUCAAGCCUCACUCUGUUGCCGCUUCUUCCAGAAUGCAUGUGCAACGGACACACAAGUCAUCUUCUUCAACUCUUAAACACUUGCAAAUGACAUAUAGUAAGUACUGUAAAUACUAGUGCUGUUAAUGACUAGCAUCAAUUAAUAAUUUAGCAGUUAACCCAUGUGGAGAUCGAGGGCAAUUAGCAACUAGCCUUUUUUUUUUACUUUUUUCCUCUGAUGAAACUGAAAUGCACCGUGAUCUGUGAUGAUCGAUCCAUGGUUGGUGGCCGGCCAUGGCGAAUCUGCCGUCAGUUUUGGGCAUUUUUUGUGGGGCGGCGGAAAACUGUGUGGCGCUCCCAGUUUUCGGCUGGUUUUUAGCCUCGCCGACGUCACUCAUGCUCAUGCCUGUCUUGCACUCUCACUCUGUGGGCUACCACCCGGCCUUGUCUGCUCACUAGCAAUGCAUUGCUGCCCCACUCAAAGUACGGAUCGCUUAUCCAUUUCUGAUGCGAUCUGCUCCAUUUCAGUCUCUCCCAUCUCACCUUAUCAUCUCCUGCUAGAUCCAACCAACUUUGCUUUACUGCUAUUCUACUGAAAAAUACUCCAUCCGCUCUAUUUAUAAGUGCAAUUGUUAUAACGCAGUUGUGGUUGUUUGUGUCUAAUGUUUUACCGUUUAUCUUAUUUUUAAAAAAUAUAAAAAAUAAUCGCAUAAAGUACUAUUUAUUUUUUAUGUAAUAACAAUAAAAAUACUAAUCAUAAAACAUUUAAAUAAGAUGGACAAUCAAAUUUUGAGCACAGAAACCUACAACUUUAAUUAAAUGUUUAGAAUCGUUAUAUUAGAAUGUGUCAUUUAAUUUAAUUUGGUUUUUUUUAACGGAAAGUGAGUAGUAUGAAGGGUUCGGUACUGUGCGUUAGUUGUCCAUCCAGUUGGGUUUGUGGUGAUCAUCAGCAGGCAACUGGUUGAUUAGAUCAAUCAAUCACUGCCCACGGUAUAGAUCAGAUCACCAUCCUCCUCCAUGUUUUUCACUGUAUCCGUGGCCGCUGCCGUUAAACUUUUUCGAACGGUCGCUGCCGUUAAACUUGAACAGUUGAUAUGCAUUUACUCUCUCCUCUCUCUCUCUCUCUCUGCAUAUAUUUAUAGACGGCAAAAUGAAAGGGGACUAAGGCCGUCUUUAGUUCUUCCAAAAAAAUUUUAUGUAUACAGACGCAUAUUUAAAAUAUUAAACAUAGAUUAAUAACAAAACAAAUUACAGAUUCCGCCUGUAAAUCGUAAGACGAAUUUAUUAAGUCUAAUUAAUCCAUCAUUAGCAAAUGUUUACUGUAGCUCCACAUUAUCAUAUCAAGGCGUAAUUAGGCUCAAGAGAUCCGUCUCGCAAUUUACAUGCAAACUGUGUAAUUGAUUUUUUUCGUCCACAUUUAAUGCUCCAUGCAUAUGUGUCAGGGUUAUAGAUACCACAUAUUUAAUAGUAGUUGACUAAAUCUCGGCAGGACCCACCACAUACUAUGUCUUAUAUGGAAAUAUCCUUCAGAUAUAAGAGGAGUUCCGCGUAAGGAAGGAAGAAUAGAGUUUUAUAUGGAAACGACAAAAACUACUCGAAUUGUAUCCAUAUUGGUUUCCCUAGUUCUACAUGAAAAAUGGAACACCUAUGGAUAUAAAUACAAGACACCUUAGGAGGAGAGGGGAGAGGGAACAACAGAUCAAGAUACAUAUCAACAUACAAGCCAAUAUACGCCAAGACGUGCCGCCGGAUAUCGACAUCAGAGAUAUGCCUGGACUGACCCUAUCCGGUACCUACAGAGGCCGGUUGUAGAGAUCUAGCGAUGCCUCUGAUCUCGCCGAGCACGGAUUCGAGGAGAAAAACUACCCUGUUGUCGAUACUUCAAUCCACUAUGUCGACAACAGUUAGAUAAGUUACCCCAAAUAUUGUACUGGUGUGAUCAUAGUGAAUAAGAGCAACGACCGGCUUCAGCCAACAGGAGUAGGGUUAUUAUCUGAUAAUUCAGGGGCCCGAAACUGUAUAAAAAUCCUCCUCUCCGUCUCUUUUACCUAAGUCUCGCAUAUAUCCUAGUACCAACGAUCCCCAUACUAUGCAAAUACCGGAAUCGCGACAUCAAACGUUGACAAUAUGUCCAAAUAUUUUAUGUGACGAAAUUUUUAAAAGUUUGAAUGGAACUAAACACAAACACAGCCUAACUUUUAGGAAAUGCACUUGGUAGCGUUAAUUGUAAGGGAUAUGCCAAUUUAAUUUCAACUCUAAGAUACUAUUUUCAAUUCCUAAACAAUUUUUUUAAGAAAAGCAUCUGGAGAAACAUUUCUUUCUACAAAUCUCUUUUUUUUCGAAGUUAAGCUAUAAAAGAAUUCAUUCUCUAUAAAACCAGCAGCAGUUUAGCUGGUUGAUUUGGGAAAACAGAACUUCGUUCGUACAUCAAUCUUGGUUACUUUGGCCAUAUAUUGAGCUGGCGAUAUGCUAUACCGGCGAGGUGACGUGGCGUCGUCAUGUAUCCGUACCAGUCUACCAGAUCACUGUACCGUUGCUCUGUUACUGUAUAUACUAGCAGUACUACAUUUUCUGAAGGUUCACAUCACCUUUGCUUUGCAUUAGUGCACUCUGAAAAACUUGACACUGCUUAUCCAAUAUCCACUACAUUAUUCAAUACUAGUAUAAAAGUACUCCCUUGUGAAAAAGAAAAGAUUCAUGUAUGAAAGUUGUCUCUUUUUUUUUUGACUAUCGGAGAGUAUGUGCUAUCUGAAAAUCUUUUUAAUUAUAGCUUUUGGCUUCAAAUUUCACACCAACUAACUAGCUAGGGGAUAAGUGUUCAUCAACUGUUUUGAAGAAGGUGAAGACAUCAACGAGUUUUCAGAUGAAGUUCAGAACAGGGUAAAAAAACAAAGUACUAGUUCUCAUUGAUUUCAUUUUCAUCAUCAACAACAACAAAACUAAUUACAUCACAACUUAUAGAACCAUUACGCAUGAACUCAGCAGCAGUAGCAGUUUAUCCAGGCUUCCAUCAGUCACUGUGAAAGUUCAGUGUUCCUCAUGGCCUGAAGAAGGCUGGGUGAGGGCGGCCGGUGCCCUGGAAGGAGGUGUUCUUGAGGUGCUCCGGUGCGCCCUCGAACGAGUGCUUCCUCGCCAGCGAGAGGAUCUUCUUGUCGGCGGCGACGAAGUAUGCCAUCCCAGCCGCCGUGCAGAUGAUCAGCGCCUGACCCGUCGGGUUGAUGUUGGCCUUCGCCCAUGGCAGCAUCC
rnacentral:lncRNA from 1 species